rnacentral:lncRNA from 1 species
AAUAUUGUAAAGACAGACGUCAAGACUUGGCCAUUGCUUCCAAUUAAGAAGCUAUUUCCAAACUCACCAACCAAACUCUUACGUGGUGGGAAUUCAGCAAAUGGAUGGAAAGAUGGAGAAAAUGGGGUGGCAAGAGUUGUGAAUCCUUAUGUUGAGUCAGAGCAGAUAAAGAGCACGUCCAUGGAAAAGCUCAGCAAGAGGCACCCAGACUGUUCCAGCUGAUCCUUCUGUGCUCCUCAUUCUGAUAUUCCAAGGACAGUGUAGCUAGGUGUUCAGUGUUAAUUGUGAGACUUGAGCCUUAAUUUCCACAUCUGUGAAAUGGCAUUAAACAUAGUUUCUAAGCAACAAAAGCAAAAAUAAACAACUGGAACUACAUCAUACUAAAAAGCCUCUGCACGACAAAGGAAAUAAAUCAUCAACAUGAAAAGGUAACCUACUCAAUGGGAGAAAAUACUUGCAUAUCAUAUAUCUGAUAAGGGACUAAUAUCCAAAACGUAUAAAGAACAUAUAAAAAAUCUGAUUAGGUAAAUGGCUAAAGGUUUGAAUAGACAUU